GGCGAGAUGGCCGAGCGGUCUAAGGCGCCAGACUAAGGUGUUGUAGCGCGGUUUGAACGUGCACAUUGGAAUAUCUGGUCCGAAAGGGCGUGGGUUCGAAUCCCACUCUCGUCA
rfam:Trametes pubescens strain FBCC735 TRAPTBscaffold_1555, whole genome shotgun sequence.